UUCACGUGGUCCAGAGUCGGAGACUGAGUUUAGCUUUACUGAGGAGCACUAAAUUUAGGCGGGUAUGAGUGAUUUCAGUGAAGAAUUAAAAGGGCCUGUGACAGAUGAUGAAGAAGUGGAAACAUCUGUGCGCAGUGGUGCAGGAAUGCAUUUUCCUUGGCUUCAAACAUACGUAGAAACUGUGGCCAUUGGAGGGAAAAGGAAGAAGGAUUUUGCUCAGACAACAAGUGCUUGUUUAAGUUUUAUCCAAGAAGCUCUGCUGAAGCACCAAUGGCAGCAAGCUGCAGAAUACAUGUACAGUUAUUUUCAGACCUUGGAAGAUUCAGAUAGCUACAAAAGGCAGGCUGCACCUGAGCAACAUGGAGACUUUCAAUACUUUUGCUGACCGGAUGAAAAAUAUUGGCGUCAUGAAUUAUUUAAAGAUCUCCUUACAACAUGCAUUAUACCUUCUGCAUCAUGGAAUGCUUAAAGAUGCUAAGAGAAAUCUGAGUGAGGCAGAGACAUGGAGACAUGGUGAAAAUACGUCUUCCCGGGAAAUAUUAAUCAACCUUAUUCAGGCCUAUAAAGGGCUCUUACAAUAUUAUACCUGGUCUAAAAAGAAGAUGGAAUUGUCAAAGCUUGAUAAGGAUGAUUAUGCUUACAAUGCAGUAGCCCAGGAUGUGUUCAACCACAGCUGGAAGACAUCUGCAAAUAUUUCUGCAUUGAUUAAAAUUCCUGGAGUUUGGGACCCUUUUGUGAAGAGUUAUGUAGAAAUGCUGGAAUUCUAUGGGGAUCGAGAUGGAGCCCAAGAGGUACUCACCAAUUAUGCAUAUGAUGAAAAGUUUCCAUCAAAUCCAAAUGCCCAUAUCUACUUAUACAACUUCCUAAAGAGACAGAAGGCACCAAGAUCAAAAUUGAUAAGUGUGCUUAAGAUUUUGUAUCAGAUUGUACCAUCUCAUAAAUUGAUGUUGGAAUUCCAU
rnacentral:sRNA from 1 species